CCUACGGGUGGCAGCAGUGGGGAAUAUUGCACAAUGGGGGAAACCCUGAUGCAGCGACGCCGCGUGAGUGAAGAAGUAAUUCGUUAUGUAAAGCUCUAUCAGCAGGGAAGAAAGUACCGUACCUGAUUAAGUAACCCCGGCUAACUACCUGCCAGCGGCCCCGGGAAUACCUAGGGGGCAAGCGUUAUCCGGAUUUAGCGGGUGUAAAGGGAGCGUAGACGGCAGUGCAAGUCUGCUGUGAAAGGCGGGGGCUCAACCCCCGGACUGCACUGGAAACUGGACGGCUAGAGCGUAGGAGAGGUAAGUGGAAUUCCUAGUGUAGCGGUGAAAUGCGUAGAUAUUAGGAGGAACACCAGUGGCGAAGGCGGCUUACUGGACUGUAACUGACGUUGAGGCUCGAAAGCGUGGGGAGCAAACAGGAUUAGAUACCCUAGUAGUC
rnacentral:rRNA from 1 species